AUCGCUUCUCAGCCUUUUGGCUAAGAUCAAGUGUAGUGAGAGAAAGGCCUUGAUAUUUCUGAUCUAUUUUUAAAUAGUGUUGGAACUUAAGAUAAAGAAAGCAAUAAUAAAUUCCUUGGGAGGGAACUGCGGAAUCUGCCAAAAAUCUCCAAAUUAUC
ensembl:snRNA U2 U2 spliceosomal RNA